rfam:Pan troglodytes isolate Yerkes chimp pedigree #C0471 (Clint) chromosome 19, whole genome shotgun sequence.
AUCCUUUUCUCGUUAAUAAAUGUGAUGAUUGGGUUUUCACACUCAUGUGAGAUGUGCUCAAACCUUGUUACGAUGUCGUGAUA